CACAGUUCCUGUCUGUUACAGGAAAUUCGUUGUGGACAGCAGUUAAUACUUACUCACUUUGCAUUAUUCUCCUUCUCAUUAAUCUCAACUCCUACUGAAAAGGGCUCAUGGUGAUCUAAUGCUUUUAAACAAGGACUACUGAUGUGGUAGCGUCACUUCCUGGCAGCCUUUUCUUCUGACUGAUGUGGGGUCUUUGUUGGGAGCCAAGAGGGUGACGCUGUACCCCACUGCAAGCUGGAAAACACAACUUCAAUGCGCACAGAAGCAGAAGGAUGUUAAGUCCUCUCAGGAUCAAAGCAUGACAAUGAAGAUUUCUUAAGAGUGUUUGCUGUGGGAGUGAGGAACGGUGUCAACGGGUUACGAAGUUACAAACACGGCUCAACCGCAAAGGAAGCACAAUGAAGAGGAACGGCAUGGAGCUUGCUCCUUGAGGAAUGCUGAAAAACACCAAGAAGAUGAGUGCAAACCACAUAUUUAGACUCUGUGGAGUGAACCCUACAAGGGAAAAUGGGAUAUUGUGUCCAGCAUGAUUUCUUGGCUCAGUCACCAGUCGUCCUAUGAAGAGCGGGCAGUGAACUCCCAGUUUUCGCUCAGCAUUCUAGCUCUUCAGUGACCAUCAACCCCGGGAAUAGCAGCUAUGUGAGCAUGACUCUACAUCACUAUUUCUGGGCGUUCUGCUACUUGACAUUGAGAGGCCCGGAUUAGGCGGCUUCACUACUGUAAAAUGUGUGUGUGCCUUGUAAGUACACAUAUAGUGCUGUGCAAAAGGCAGUUGUCGCAGUGCAGCUUUACAAAACAAAAACCUCAGUGUCUUUCUUUUUUAUUUCAUGUGAUAAAGCAGAAUUCCCACAUUUACUUUGCAGCAAUUUGUUUAUCUUGUUUGCGUUUUCCUUGUCUUGGAAAGUGUUUUUGAGUGUUCUAAAAAGCACUUUAUAAGUAUAAUUU